UACGGAGGGGGGGCUAGCGUUGUUCGGAAUUACUGGGCGUAAAGCGCACUAGGCGGCUUUGUAAGUUAGAGGUGAAAGCCCGGGGCUCAACUCCGGAAUUGCCUUUUAAGACUGCAUCGCUAGAAUUUGUGGAGAGGUAAGUGGAAUUCCAGUGUAGAGGUGAAAUUCGUAGAUAUUCGGAAGAACACCAGUGGCGAAGGCGACUUUACUGGGACACAUAU
rnacentral:rRNA from 1 species